GGCGAAAUGGCCGAGUGGUUAAGGCGUUAGUUUUAGGCACUAAUAUCUUCGGAUUCGUGGGUUCGAAUCCCACUUUCGUCA
rnacentral:tRNA from 1 species